ensembl:lncRNA
AGAAGGUUUAAAACACUCAACAGACAAAAAAUGAAAAUUAAUAUUGGUACUAGGGACAAAUGAAUUCUCAAGCAGUCUGCACCAUACCUAAGUAACAGGAGUGGUCAAAAGUAAAUAGACUUUAUAGAAUUAAAAAAAAAAAAAAGACAUUCUUCUCUUGCACCACAGAGUGUCAGUCUUGCUUUUUGCUGUGUCUACAUAGAUGUCAUGUCUACAGGGAGAGACAACCACUCUCAAACUGGUACAGCCAGUGAACCACCAUCAACCAUCUAAAUUUCUCAUGAGUUACUGUGCACUCUUAUCAUCAAUCUUUUAAAUAAAGACUUGUAUAAGCAUUUGACUCUGAGGACCAAAUAUGUUGGUUUUAUGGUCCAGCGGUAUACUGAAAACCAGUGGAAGGAGUCAAAGAAGAGUUAAGUUUUGCUACGGGCUUUGACAUAGUUAUACAAAAAAUUGACUUUAAUAUUGGCUAAUUGCUAGAAUGGGUCAAUCUGAAAGAUUUUAGGCUAUCAUCAGUCUCAAGAGUGUCUGAUACCUUGCCAGUAGAAUUAAAUAAAAAAUAUAGGUCUUUCACUUUGCUAUUCAGCAGGUAAAUCACGCAGAUUUAGAACAUGGGCAUACUUAAUAGACUGGAUUAAGGACAGGAUCCUAAACCAACUGAAGCCCUUGAGUACUUACAGUCGGAGAUGUGCAAAUCACUGAUUCCCUGCUUCACUGUCUGAACUGAAAAAAAAAAAGAAAAUGUAUUACUUUGAUCCCAAACCAAACCAAUAUGUUUCAAUGCCUUCUGCAGGUUUAAAAAAAAAAAAAUCAGUCUAAACCAUAAAGCUUUUAGUUUUGCUUAGAAAAUUUUUAAAGUUCACUUUACUAAGCAAAAGUAUAUUUAAGUUUGAAACGUCAUUUCAAAAUGAACAAAACAAAACACAGCUAUUAGAACAUGCCUAAGGAAAUAUUUUGACCCCCCAGAAAUUGUUUACUUUUUCUCUCCAGUAAUGAAAAUACAAAGUCUUCUGAUUAACUCAUAUCCUAAUUAUUCAAUAAUAAAAAUAAUCUUUAAAGAAAUAAAACAGUUUAAUUUUGCUUUGAAGGAUUUUCAGGCUAGUCCAUGGAUAUCUCAGUUAUGGUGAGGUACCGCCAAAAACCACCUUUUUCAAGAGCGCGUUACACUGCUAACUAAUUGUCUCACACAUAGGACAAUAUUCGUCCCUUACAUAGGUUCUUACACAUGUAUGCCCCUUUUCUCUUUCUUCUACUGUUCUGCACUUUGAGGUGCUUAUGUUAAAAAAAAAAAAGAAAAUAGCAAUUCUUGACUAGAUAAAAAUGUCUGUCAGUCUGUCAUCAAGGAUUAUAUACAGAGUCAUGUUUUUACCAGUUAUAUACAUGUAUAUGCUUAUAUAUAUAUAAAAAUAUAUAUAUAUAUUUAUCAGCAGGCAGAGAUAGUCUCCUGGGCUUGUCAUCAUGAUGUUACCAUGUUGCUACUGCAACUUUCCAUAUGUCCUUACACCCAGGACAGCAUUACUGUAAUAAUAUCAAUGUCAUCAGCUCUUUCCAUGUGCAUGGUGUCUAAGCAACGUGGCAGACCGCAGUGUGGUACUCCCUCUUAUAUUCCUAUCUUGGAUUUAAAAACCUUCUAUUAGGAAAAGAAGAUCCCAACUGGAAUGAGAUUAUAACACAAUCAUCCAAUUCAGAACAUUAUGCCAUGAUUGUAGCAGCAUGUUAGAAACUCCCUCUGCUCCCGGGCUUAAUGAAAUCUGAACUUAUUAUAUGGUUCAGCACAGUUUUUGGAAGGCAACCAAUAAGUAUGGGAGGUUUACAAUUGAGACGAGGAGCUUGUUUGCCAGGAUUUGACUCUCUCGAGGAAAGCUAACUGCAGGGCCAGAUCUUUUCUUUUCAUUGGAUAUAAAACAGCUAUACUCAUAGCAGUAUUUACUGGUGAUGGCAGCCUGUGAUAGAGCUAUGUCUUUCCAGCAGUACUUUAACCAGAGAAUACCCAGUAACGAUUGUAUACCUGCUCAACAGUGCUUUGCUGUUUAUAUAAAACUAUUCGAGAAGGGGCACUUGACUGCAGUGGAGCAUUUUAAUGCAGAAAUCUACCUAUUAAGUAAAAAACACAUGCUACACCUUUCUAGGUCUUACUGUAUGUGAAAUUUUAAUGUGGAGAUAACCUGGAAUGAAAAAAAAAAAAAAAAGGAGAGCUGUGUACCUGCACACAACUGCUUGUUCUGUUUUUUCAGGCUAACAGCUUAGCUGUAACAUUUGCACAUUAGCUAAAUAACAUCUCAAGGGGAGCUGAGGAUAGAACCUUGAUGUCUCCUGAUUGUACAUGUGUGAGUUUGUGCUCUCAGAGGAUGGUCCUUAAAAAACUCCCUGCUGGAAGCUAUUGUGCAUAUUGUAAAAGGACUGUUGCUAAGUGCCAAUUGAGCUAGUACUGUAUACUUGCCAUUUUAAAAGAAGAUUUCAUACCACUUGAUUAUGUUAAAUAGAAAUGUUUGAAAUUUAAACUGAAUUACAUCAAAAUGGCACAGUAGUUAUAUGUCUAAAGAGCUGCUGCUACUCUCUCUCGUAACUAAUGUCAAUCCCUUCUGGUAGACAGUUUUAUUUGAAACUGUGACAUAGUAUUUUACAGGAGAAGUUUAGAGAGCCUUGAUAUAAAAAAGUCAUAAAUAAAUACUACUGUAAAAACCAGGCUUGUGUUUGUAUUAGCAAGAAAGAAUCCCUUAAUAUUUAAGUGCUGUCUUUAACUAAAAUGAGAGAAAAAUUCUUAAGGUCAGAGGUUCAUCUUUGGCCUUUAGGUUGUGUUAAGGUCAUAGGGUUUUUUUUUGUGCAGAUAAUGAUUGUUUAUGGGAACUCGGUAAAUUCCAAUAGCACAAGCUAGACAAUACAUUUAGUAGAAAUAAUACAGAAACUUCCUGAAGACCAGCUUACCAUGAACAAAAAGAAAUAAUAAUAUUAACAAUAGCCAGACAUCAUGACAAUCAAACUGAAAUGAGAAAUCUGAGAUCCUUAUCAGGUAGAUGGGAAAGGAGUGAAUAAUACUGUACAAGCAAUCUUGUACUGCAAAUGUAUUUAAAACUUGGAAGGAAGAUGGGCACAUACUCUGCAUGUACGCAUCCAGCAUUUUUAUGAUCAACAACGGAGGGCGUUGUAUGCAGAGAUGGAAAAAUAUGAUAAACUACUAUUAAAAAUGCUUCUUAGGAUUCACAUAUUUGAGGGAUAUUUGAAAAGCAGAUCAGGGAAGUAAACAAAAGAAACAGUCUGAUAUGCUUACGUAAUUUUAGAGCAUUUUCCAGAAGGUAUCUUCCUGAGUUUUCGUGUUGAAUUUUUUUUUUUUUUUUUUAAGUGCAAAAACACAGGUAAAAUAAAUACCCUUUUGUGAAAAAAUAUACUUCAGUUCAUACCAGACAAAUAGGGUGGGAAGUCUGAAUUUUUCAAGCAUUUCAUAUUUCAGAUGGUAUUGAAAUUUGAAAAUGCAAUUUUUCACUUAGGGAGGGAGGAGAAAUAAAUCAUUUAAACAGGUGAAAUAACAGCCCAGGUGCACCAAAUAUGUUGUUUCCCAUUCUAGAGUAUUAUUUUAUUUUGCACUGUGAUGAAAUGCUUAGCUGACCUCCCCACUCUGUAAUCAAUCUUAUUUUACCCUUUGAAGGCAAUUGAUAAUUUCCUUAAUAGACCAACUGUAUUUCCAUGCCUUUUUCCUCAGUCUCCUGUGAUGUCACCAGAAUGAAGUGGUUAAUUAUUUGUGCUGGAAAUGAAAACCCACUACCAGUUCCCUUUGCAAGGAUACUAGACUGCAUUCAGCAGUCCCAUAUAGCAUUCUACUUUACACUCCUGUCUUGUCUUCCAGUGUUUUUUCUAUCGUCCAGAGGUCACACUGUACACCUUGGCUUGUCUCUUCAUCUACACACCUGAUCUCAAGCUCAGUAUCCAGUGGUGAUACCUGGCUCAUUGGCAUAUUCCAAAAAUAUUUUGAAGUUCUCAGACUAUUACACUACAGUUUUACAAAUCAUCCAUGGAUCCUUUCAGAAUGCAUUGAACUGGUAUUAUUUUAUUGAUUGAUGGACUGAUUAAUUCUCUCUCCUCAAUAUUUCACAGUUAGGACACAGCUGUAGUUUCAGUCUGAAACACAACUUGAAAUUUAUGCCAUACUUGAUUCCUGUCAAUGUAUAGAAAUAUGUCUUCAGAGUUGAGUGUUGCCUUUGACUGGAGUCUAACAUGGUCUUCCCACUUACAGGGCGAAGAAAGAUGUGCAGUAAGUUUCUGUGAUAAUAAUGCUGGAGAUGGUAUUGUAGUAAUGUUACAGCAGCCUGAGUUGCAGUAACUCACUCUACUAUUCAGGUUAUGGCUGUAACUAUCAUACACAUGCAUGAAGGACAAAACCCAAGGGAAAGUGCAAAAUGAUCCUCCGAGGAACUGGUUCCAUCCUGGAUUCCAUGAAUUAUACCUGGAUCAAGGGCUGACAUCUCAAGAUCACACCAGUGCCUGUCUUUUUUUGUCUUUAAUAGUCAUUGUUUAACAGAAGCAUCUUGCCAUACCAGUUCGUUUUUAUUUUCUAUCUAAUCAAUCAUAUUGCUGAUUUAGUAAAUAAUCAAACUUACUAAGUCAUUUUUUUACUAAUUCAUUCAUUUUUUAAAUUCCUUCAAAGCUUCUUAUUCUUCUGUUUCCCAAGAGUUCUUUUGAAAGCUGCUUCUUAGUUAAGUACUGUUUGAUUUGAUUAAUUUUAACCUGAACAAGAAAAAAAAUAGCCUGUUGCAGUUUUCAUACUCAUGCUAGUAUGAGGGCAAAGAAAAAGAGUGAUUACUGUUACAUUCGUGCACAAGAAAAAUAAGCUGCAAUGUACUUAGUAGUUAUGUAACUGCACAGUUAUGCAGUUAUGGCCCCCUCUACCAGAUAUGAAAUUAUAUAUGCCCCCAAAAGUAAAUCUCUUGACUUAAAAGGGUUUCAUGAUUUCAGCCAGGUUUGCAAUUUGCUGUCUUCUUUUUCAUUACCAUGGACUCUUUUGUAGUCAUAUUAAUGUUUACAGUGUAAACACAGCAUCUAUUAUAGUAAAAAAAAGUAAAUAGUAUAUAAGUAUGUGCUGAAGAAUCACCACAUAAUGGAGUGAACAAGCGCUGGAAGCUAAAGAGUGUGUCGUACAUGUGAUGUACCUCCUAUUACAACAUUAAUUUGUUCACUGAAAUAUUUUAAAAUGUGUAGAUUUAAAAUAAUAAAGAAAAUCUUUUUUUUUUUACAUUUUGCUUUGAAUUUUUAUGUUGAAUUUUAUUGAAACAUACUUUUAAAAAUCAGUCAUUUUAGUAUCCAUUUUUAUCAAAUUAUAAUCUUUUACCACUUAAUAAUAGAGGAGCAAAAGCUUUUUAAGCGCAUAACAACUGUGACAAUUUGAUGGAAUUUAGUCUGAGUAAUAAUUUUAUCAAAUAAUAUAUUUCUUUUUAAAAAUACCAUUUAUUAAAACAUUAUCCACAAUUCAGGCAGAAUGGUAAAGCAAAUGUCAUUUUUAAACACACGACCCACCUUUGCUGAAAGCACAGCACAAUCACAACAUGUUAUAGUAAGCCGUGGCAUGCUUUUGGAACACAAGAUGAUUCUAUCAAUAGAUUAUUAAGCCUACAGAUGAGAGCCCAGAAUUUCUGAGCUAAACAGUACUCAUUCACUUCUACCUGUGCAUUGAUUUUAAUGAUUUUUUGUGCGUUUAACUGAAGACAGAAUAUGAUUCUCAGCACCUGGUGCAUGAGGACACACUUCUCUGACAUAGACUAAAGCAUUUGUGGGCUCCCAAAAAGCAAGUGUUGCACUCUUUGAACGUCUUCAGUUCUUCUGCCCCGAGGAAGAUGAAGUCCUGGGGAUGUGAUCUGGCAGGCACCAACGUAAAUGCAACCUCAGCGUGGAUACUUUUAGGAAAGAUCAAGUUAUCAGAGGUGUUUCUUUGUCAAUCACAGACCUUCAGGCGAAGAUCCUUAAAGUGAAGCUGUUCUAUAGAAAUGAGACCUGAACAGAAGAUGGAAGACAUACCCAAAUACAGUAAACUUUGAAUAUAAUAAGUAGCAAGUACUGACAGUAAAGCCAUUUAAGAAAUGGAAACUGUCACUCUGAGUGAGAGAGAACCAGAAAUGUUUCCUUCUCUUUGGCUCACUCACAAUACUCCCAAAGAACCCUUUCUUUUUAAACAUCAGAAUUAUCUUGAUCAAGCAUUAAGCUUAUGGCAUGUCUUCUUUUGCAUCUAUGUUUAUCUCUACAGAACAUUUUAACAUUUAUCCUAAAGAUUAAGACAUUUAUCUGGAGGAGGAGGAGCUGUGUUCUCCAUCUGCAGAAAUUUAGAAAAUAGAUUGCAGACUUGGUUAUGCAGGUAAACAUCUAUGCUGGUGAUGGUCAAUGAAAGAAUAG